CAUCCAAGCUUCUACAGUAAGCGAAAUCCUUUUGGACUCCUACAAGGACCGGACUCCAUCCGAACUUUUACAAUAAAAUUUAGCCGACUGUCUCUGAUGUCUUUCAUAUCUCUCUGAGCCGUCCACUUUCAACAGUGCCAAUCGGACUUCCACAAUGUCCUCCAGACUCCUCCAGUGGAUGAACUUCCACAACGCCUUCCGAAUUCUGCUAUCAAGUCGACCUUCUGCCGAAUUCCUCAUGCAACCGGACCUCUCCAGUGGAUAGCCCUCAGACAAGCU
rnacentral:lncRNA from 1 species